CUGUCGUCAGCUCGUGUUGUGAAAUGUUGGGUUAAGUCCCGCAACGAGCGCAACCCUUAUCCUUUGUUGCCAGCGGUUAGGCCGGGAACUCAAAGGAGACUGCCAGUGAUAAACUGGAGGAAGGUGGGGAUGACGUCAAGUCAUCAUGGCCCUUACGAGUAGGGCUACACACGUGCUACAAUGGCGCAUACAAAGAGAAGCGACCUCGCGAGAGCAAGCGGACCUCAUAAAGUGCGUCGUAGUCCGGAUUGGAGUCUGCAACUCGACUCCAUGAAGUCGGAAUCGCUAGUAAUCGUGGAUCAGAAUGCCACGGUGAAUACGUUCCCGGGCCUUGUACACACCGCCCGUCACACCAUGGGAGUGGGUUGCAAAAGAAGUAGGUAGCUUAACCUUCGGGAGGGCGCUUACCACUUUGUGAUUCAUGACUGGGGUGAAGUCGUAACAAGGUAACCGUAGGGGAACCUGCGGUUGGAUCACCUCCUUACCUUAAAGAA
rnacentral:rRNA from 1 species